AACUGGUCGUGAUCUAUAGCCAAUCACCUGAUGAGCCCAAGGUAGGGCGAAACGAGUA
rnacentral:hammerhead_ribozyme from 1 species